UACAGAGGGGGCCAGCGUUAUUCGGAAUUACUGGGCGUAAAGGGCGCGUAGGCGGUCUGCUAAGUUGGAUGUGAAAACUCUGGGCUUAACCCAGAGCCUGCAUUCAAUACUGACAGGCUAGAGUUCUGGAGGGGAUAGCGGAAUUCCUGGUGUAGCGGUGAAAUGCGCAGAUAUCAGGAGGAACACCGAUGGCGAAGGCAGGUCUCUGGCCGAUAACUGACGCUGAGAAGCGAAAGCAUGGGGAGCGAACAGG
rnacentral:rRNA from 1 species